UACGGAGGGGGCAAGCGUUAUUCGGAAUCAUUGGGCGUAAAGGGCGCGUAGGCGGCUUGGCAAGUCAAAGGUGAAAUCCCUCGGCCCAACCGAGGAACUGCCUUUGAUACUGCCUCGCUUGAGGCCGGGAGAGGGUAGCGGAAUUCCCAGUGUAGCGGUGAAAUGCGUAGAUAUUGGGAGGAACACCAGUGGCGAAGGCGGCUACCUGGACCGGUUCUGACGCUGAUGCGCGAAAGCGUGGGGAGCAAAC
rnacentral:rRNA from 1 species